AGCGAACGCUGGCGGCAGGCCUAACACAUGCAAGUCGAACGAACUCUUCGGAGUUAGUGGCGGACGGGUGAGUAACACGUGGGAACGUGCCUUUUGGUUCGGAAUAACUCAGGGAAACUUGUGCUAAUACCGAAUGUGCCCUUCGGGGGAAAGAUUUAUCGCCAUUAGAGCGGCCCGCGUCUGAUUAGCUAGUUGGUGAGGUAACGGCUCACCAAGGCGACGAUCAGUAGCUGGUCUGAGAGGAUGACCAGCCACACUGGGACUGAGACACGGCCCAGACUCCUACGGGAGGCAGCAGUGGGGAAUCUUGCGCAAUGGGCGAAAGCCUGACGCAGCCAUGCCGCGUGAAUGAUGAAGGUCUUAGGAUUGUAAAAUUCUUUCACCGGGGACGAUAAUGACAGUACCCGGAGAAGAAGCCCCGGCUAACUUCGUG
rnacentral:rRNA from 1 species